GUAUCAGAAUCUGUAUCAGUAUUGGCAGUUGUGUAUCAGAAUCGGAUUGAGACUGAAAAAAUGUGGAUCCGCCCAUCCCUACUAACGAUGUAUAUUUUUCUUCACAACUAACACUGUUGUACAUUUAUUACAUGUGACAAUGGUAACAUUGUCAUGCAUUCCAGAUAACUUGCUAUACCUGUUGCAUCAAAGCCAAGUCUGCCCCUAACAGUCUUCCCUUGGGGCACCUCAGGCCUGCCCACCAGCAUGUGUUUAAGCAAGUGAGCAGCUGAAAACUGUAUGCGCAUGUUCAACGCGCUUUCAAUAAUGCGCUGUGGGGCACGAUCAGAAUGGCUUGUGCCGAUAGCAGCCAAUAAAACGUAACACUAAUUGAUUUGACAUAGGUCAAGACGUUGUCAUUGUCCUUUUCAACCAACAGCUAGCUGUUAUGAUAGCCACCACCAGCAGUGGCAGUAGCAAUAAAAUGUAGUGACGGUCAAAUGAAGCUUCAUGAACCGUUUGCUGUAUUUUCAGAUACCACUAGAUGGCGCUGUUGGUUUGCUUUGGGGCAUGCAGUAAGUCCUUUAUUAAAGAUCAUAUUUAGCAGCUUGCUAUUGGAGCUUUGGUCUAUACAUCCAGCAUGUCACAUAUGCUAUAAUAUCUGAUACACCUGGCAGUAAAAAAUUGACAAAAAAAAUUGAUUGGUGAUUGACAAGUUUGCCCAGAUGAAAGAUCGUUGUGCAAGUUUUCCAGCAUUGAACGUCACUGGCUUUCUGUGCAAGAGACACCACUGAUGGAGAGAGAAGUUGAACAGAGCCCCCAACCGCGCGGCCACUGAGGGAACAGGGGAGUUACGAAUGACCCUCCUGCUAAAUACCACACAUCAAUGGCUGGCUGGGCUGCACUGGAAGGCCACACAGAAAAGAGAAAGGAGAGCUCUGCUAAUUACGCCUGGCACAUUCUCAUGCACUGCCAGCCUCCAAGCCUCUCUGCCAGCCUCCAAGCCCCACUGCCAGUCUCCAAGCCCCACUGCCAGCCUCCAAGCCUCUCUGCCAGCCUCCAAGCCUCUCUGCCAGCCUCCAAGCCUCUCUGCCUGCCUCACAGAGCAGUCUGUGGUGUUCAGAACAUCAGCGCGUCUUCGAGCGCCGCCUACGGCAGUGAGAUGAAGGUGUUGUCAUAGAAAUGGAAGGAGCUGGCCAGAGCAGACUCAUCUCAGAAAAACAGAUCCCUGUAUUCUGCAGUCUGAAUUAACCCCUUCCAGUCCCUAACCUUUUCAGGGAAAAUGUAGCCUGUUGUCUCUCCUGCCUGCCCUGCUGCUGUACCACUGUCCAUCCUGCCACCAGAAACAGUGCCAACACCCGCCUGCCAUCACCUGCCUGUCCUCUGCAUUUAGACUCGAAUCUUAAAAUUUGAAUUGUGUAUCAGGAUUUUCUCAUCUUGCUCAUUUGACUUCCUCUGCUGGCCCCUGGAGGAUGGACUCCCCCCUUGAGUCUGGUCCCUCCCAAGGUUUCUUCCUUCUAGAGAGUUUUUCCUUGCCAGUGUCGCCUAUGGC